rnacentral:rRNA from 1 species
CUACGGGAUGCUCCAGUGAGGAAUAUUGCACAAUGGGGGGAACCCUGAUGCAGCAACGCCGCGUGGAGGAUGACGCAUUUCGGUGUGUAAACUCCUUUUAUAUGUCAAGAAAAUGACGGUAGCAUAUGAAUAAGCACCGGCUAACUCCGUGCCAGCAGCCGCGGUAAUACGGAGGGUGCAAGCGUUACUCGGAAUCACUGGGCGUAAAGGACGCGUAGGCGGGUUGGAAAGCCAGGUGUGAAAUCCUACAGCCUAACUGUAGAACUGCACUUGAAACUUCUAAUCUAGAGUAUGGGAGGGGGAGAUGGAAUUAGUGGUGUAGGGGUAAAAUCCGUAGAUAUCACUAGGAAUACCUAAAGCGAAGGCGAUCUCCUGGAACAUUACUGACGCUAAGGCGUGAAAGCGUGGGGAGCAAACGGGAUUAGAUACCCCCGUAGUC